UACAGAGGUGGCAAACGUUGUCCGGAUUUAUUGGGUGUAAAGGGCAUGUAGGUGGUUUUGUAAGUCAAAGGUGAAAUGGCCCGGCUCAACCAGGUCAUUGUCUUUGAAACUGCAGAGCUUGAGUACGGAAGAGGAAAGCGGAAUUCCCAGUGUAGCGGUGAAAUUCGUAGAUAUUGGGAAGAACACCGGUGGCGAAGGCGGCUCACUGGCUCGUAUCUGACGCUCAGGCGCGACAACGUGGGGAUCAAACAGG
rnacentral:rRNA from 1 species